CAAGGACAAGAUAACGUAAGCAGGGAUGAAAUCCAAAAUCUCCUUGAUAUAGUUAAUGUGGAAAUUCAAGAAGAAAAAGCAAGGCUUGCUGCUAUCGAUGAAAUCAAUGCUGUGAUUCGAGAAGGUCAUCCCAGUGACACCAUGACUGCACUCAUGAAACCUGAGGCCCAGCUCCCUCCCGUCCUUCCAUUCGCUGCCGUUAUGUAUCAGAAUGAACUGUUCAGCCUUCAGAAAGAGAACUCCUUGAACUACCUGGCCCACAAGAAGGUGUCCAUGACAGUAGAAAUGGUGUCAAGUAUUGCUUGGCUUAACCGAGCU